rnacentral:rRNA from 1 species
UACUAGAGUAGCACUCGCAUAUCAAUAAGCGGAGGAAAAGAAACUAACAAGGAUUCCCCUAGUAACGGCGAGUGAAGCGGGAAGAGCUCAAAUUUGAAAUCUUAAAGGGUUUCCCUUUACGAAUUGUAGUUUAAAGAAGUGUUUUCUGUUGAGGUUUUGGUAAAAGUUCUUUGGAAUAGGACAUCAUAGAGGGUGAGAAUCCCGUAUUUGACCUUUACUUUCAACUUUGUGAUACACUUUCAAAGAGUCGGAUUGUUUGGGAAUGCAGUCCAAAAUGGGUGGUAAAUUUCAUCUAAAGCUAAAUAUUGGCGAGAGACCGAUAGCGAACAAGUACCGUGAGGGAAAGAUGAAAAGAACUUUGAAAAGAGAGUUAAACAGUACGUGAAAUUGUCAAAAGGGAAGCGUUUGACACCAGUGUUGUUUUUCUGAAAAUCAAUUAAAGAACUGUUUAUGCUAAGCUGUUUAGACUUUAUCAGCUAUCUGUUUAGUUUUGAGCUUUUCUUUAAUGCACUUUUCAGUUAACAAGUCAACAUCAAUUUCUUUUGCCUGUAAAAAAGCUUGAGGAAGGUGGCUUGAGAUUCGUCUUAAGUGUUUAUAGCCUCUUGCCUAUGCAGUCGGAGAGAUUGAGGUCUGCAGCGUAGAUCCUUCGGGGCUAAAUGCAUUUGUGCUAAGUUAUAGCAUUUUAUAGACAACUUGUUGACUAUGAUUUGUCUUGUAGCUUACUCGCUUAUGUUAUUUUACCUACGCUUAGGAUGUUGAGCGCAUGUCUCUCUCU